GUCUUUAGUUAAGUACAUGUCACGUGUACUUUACUAUGCACUUUUACUUUACAUAAGUAUUUCCUUUCAUGCAAAACAAUGUAAAUUCUCUCUCGCUCGUCUGGCACUUGUUCCUCACGGAGAUGAAACAUUCAUUUCAGAGUCCGACAGACGCUUGAUUUCUCACUGCAUCUGCCUAUUGCAUUUACAGUCACGUGCCCAAACUAAGCCUUAAUUGAGGGACUCAGGUGCGACAUCUUCACCUGUAGGGGGCGUCCUGCCACAAGCAGCGGCGGACCUGACUCCCUGCAGCCAAUCGCGGCUUUGACAAGUUCAGCGAAGUUUCGGUUCCUCGUUCAGCGGAAGUAUCGCUGUCAACUCGCCGCUUUGAGAUGUUUGCGAUCCGGCCGGCUCAGGUGGAGCCCCGCGGUCACGGGCUCCGGGUGUGAGACGGCAGAGAUGUAUCGCCUGCGCUGUGGCGUCGCGCUGGCCUUCGUCCUCCUGUGUUACUUCUCGGACGUCGCGCGCGCGCUCGUGCAGGGCGGCGUGUGUGUCUUCUUGUGUCUCGCAACGCCGGGUUUAUUACGCAGCCUUAGACGCGAGAGCAGCACCCAGACGGACGAGGAGGCGAAGGAGGCGACGCACAAGGAAACUAAGACAGACUCGUCGGGCGACCUGCCUGACGGAGGAUCCACGGCGCCGGCCGAGCCACUGGGACCCAGUACCCAGUACCCACAUGUGAGGAAGUCUCUCCAGCAGGCGUUCGAGAGCGCCUACGCUCAGCUGCUGCUGCCCUGGUACCGCGUCCCCGAGCCCAGCGAGCGCCAGCCUCUGCACCGGGUGCUCAGCAGGGAGUCUGAUUUCGUGAUCGAGCGCGUAAUUGAGCGAGCCGGGCACUUUGAUGUGUACCAGGUGGUUGUGGGCUCCAUCCGCGUCUUGACCCAGCACUUGCAUAACGCCAAGCAGCCGACCAGGGAGCUGCCGCUCGGCUCCCGAGAGAAGGAGAUUGCAGUCCUCCGAGACUUCUCGGACGUUCUCGUGCGGAACCUUUUUUCCAGCUCCCUGUGGGGUCAAGGAGUCACCCGCUGCGUCCUGAGGGAGCUCUUGGCUGUAAAGGGCUUGGGCCUGUUGGUGACAUGGCUGUCGGACCCAGACACCCUGAACCAGCUGGUGGUGAGCCAGCUCGGCAGCGUGACCCCCAAGGGCUCGGCGGAGGAUCUGAGUGGAUCGGGCCGGGAGCGGGCGUCCCUGGUUCCGCCGGAGAGCAAGGGCGAUGGCGAGGGCAGCGAAGGGAGUUUGCAGGAAGAGACCCGGACCGAGAUCAAGGGCAAAAGCAGAGGUCAGAAGUUAAGGGAAAAAUUGUCAAAGUUGAAGGAAAAGAUCAGGAUCAAGAAGAAAAAGCCCAAAGCGCGGCAGGAAGGUCCGGAAUUGCUGACGACUGACUGCAUGUCUGAUGAGGAGGGCGUCCGCUUCAGAGAGGGCUCCGUUCACAGCCAGGAGGACUCUGACCGGGACAGCGAUCCGGAGAGCCACCUGGCCAGCCUGGAGGACAUGAUGGAGUUCAAGCUGUCGUACAAAAUGUGGUGCGUGGGCCAAUGGGCGGUCAGCAUCCCUCAUGCCGAGUGGGAGGACGAGGACCUGAUCCUCGGCGUCCACCUGGCGGAGACGGACAGCCCGGAGACGCUGCAGUGGAGCCUCAGGAAGAGCUACAUGGACGUGGUUCGUUUUCGCAACAGGCUGCAGAGACCUGUUGAGGACGAGCUUCAGGACGCCCGGCUCCCCGCACUCAUCGAGCUUGAGGAUUCGGAGGCCGACGACGAGGUCAAGGAAAGCGCCCGAGCGUCGGUGCAGCGCUUCCUGCAGGGAGUGGUCUCUGAUUCUGAGAUCUGCAACACUGAGGCGGUUUUCAAGUUUCUGUGUCCACUUAAAAUACUUCUGAAUGAGGAGGAGGACGGCGGGGGCGUGUGGGGGCUUCUCAGCGGCUUGGCCAACUUCCUGGCUCCAGGUCAGGAUGAGGAUGAGAAUUCUAGUCCUCGAACAGAAGCCCCACAGGAAAUCACAGGGCAAUCUCCACUCCCACCACCUCCAGCUCUGCCUUCAGAAAACCAUGAUGCCUCCGCUGAGAAGGGCAGCGACGGCGCAGGCGCUGCGCUUCCAGCCAUCACUGUCAGCCGCUGCGACCCUCCAUCAGUGUUUGAGGGAGAGGCUGGAAAGGCAGCAAAACCUGCUGUUGAGUCCGACUCUAAGAACAGCGAAAACUGCCCCCAAGAAAAACUGGAGGACGCUGAUAACUCCUUAACCAUAAACUCUGCAAUGCCCAAAGAGAGGUCUCUGUCGCAAGAGUCGCUGGUGUCGAGAAGCAGCAGCAACGAAGACCUGCUGGAAACGGACCACUUCCAAAAGAGAGCGGCUGGAAAGGAGCCGACGUUUAAAUUAAAUGCAAAGGAAAAUAAAAGGGAUAAGUGGAAGUUUGGUGGCGCGAACAAGGCUAAAGGCGAAGGCAAGGCAAAGGGGGAGGACUCUCCGCAUCAGAAGGCCCACGGCGGCGGCGAGCACCAGGAGGCCGCCAGAGCCGUGUUCGAUCUGCUGAAGGAAAUAUCCGGAAACUCCAUCGCCUUUAACUUAUUUGACGCCAUUUUGACGCCGUUCAUGCCCAUUGUGAAAAUGAAGGUGAACUCCUUUCUCAACAAGCUGAACCCCACGGAGCAGCAGGUGGCCGCCUACAUCGACCGUCUGCAGGGCGGAGCGGGGCCCGAGUCUCCGCCGGCGCCGGCGCCGCGCACCGACGGGGACAAGGACGAGACGAGGGCGCGCGCGCAGGGCCUCCUCGGCACCAAAUGUUUGGGCCUUCUGAUCCUGAAAAAGGCCGACGUGGAGACUGUUUUUAAGCUUUUUCAGAAGACGGAAGAAAACAAAACGCUGGUGUUUGAGCUCCUGUCGUUCCUGUUGGGAGAGCUGUUUCCUGGUGAUCGCUCUGUGACUGCAGCCCUGCAGCAAGUUAAGAAGUCCAGUUGAAUUGUAUUUUUAAUGUCCUUAUUCUGUCUUGACUUUUUUAAGAAUCUCACAAUAUUUAUUAACUGUCUUAAAACCCCUUAAAUGAUUUUGGCAUGAUUGCCUUCAUUCUUUAAACAUGUGAAUUUCGCCUUUUCUCGUUGUCCGUGUUCGUUUGUGGAUGAUGAAUAGUGACUUAUUUGUAUGUGGGAGCCAAUUUUAUGCGUUUUUGUUCGCACAUUCAGAAUUUAAAUAUCACUCCUCACUUUCAGAUACUGUUUCUAAAGUCAUUUGUCACUUUGAGCACGUGUUUAUGUAUGUCACAGCUGCCACUGUAACCACAUGAAUCUGUCAAAACAUGGGCAACGUGCCUGUGAAGCCGAACUUGAAAUAUUGGUCCUGUAAGAAACUUGAAUAUAUUCCAAAUGAAAUGUUUUAAUAAAGCUACACAUUUUUAUUUAUACA
rnacentral:lncRNA from 1 species